GUUGAACGCUGGCGGAAUGCUUUACACAUGCAAGUCGAGCGGCAGCGCGGGGGCAACCCUGGCGGCGAGCGGCGAACGGGUGAGUAAUAUAUCGGAACGUACCCCGUCGUGGGGGAUAACACAGCGAAAGCUGUGCUAAUACCGCAUACGACCUGAGGGUGAAAGCGGGGGAUCGCAAGACCUCGCGCGAUGGGAGCGGCCGAUAUCGGAUUAGCUUGUUGGUGAGGUAAAGGCUCACCAAGGCGACGAUCCGUAGCUGGUCUGAGAGGACGACCAGCCACACUGGAACUGAGACACGGUCCAGACUCCUACGGGAGGCAGCAGUGGGAAAUUUUGGACAAUGGGGGCAACCCUGAUCCAGCCAUUCCGCGUGAGUGAAGAAGGCCU
rnacentral:rRNA from 1 species